CUCACCUGACCUCAGCCGGGGGGAAAGAGUCACACUCACAGGAAUCUGUUCUCCAGCUAUGAAGCACCGCUUGUGUAGCUGCCUCAAGCCAUCCUCUUCUAAAGGACUUCCAAAUAAUUGUGAGCCCAGUCAUCAGGUGUGGUGCUGAAGAGGUUAGCACUCCUCCUCUACUUACGCUACACUGAUGACAUCUUCAUCAUAUGGACCCACAGGAAGGAGGCCACUGAAGAAUUCAGUCUGGACCAGUCCACACAAGAGAUCCACUUCCUGGACACUACAGUGCAAAUGAGUGAUGGUUACGUAAACGCCACCCUAUACCGGAAACCUACUGACCGAUAUACUUACCUACAUGCCUCCAGCUUCCAUCCAGGACACUU